rnacentral:lncRNA from 1 species
UGGUUCCGGCCUGAGUGGAACCCGGGAUCGCAAGAUUACUGGAGCGAUGUCCUGCCUGAGGGAAGCCUGCUGAGAAUGAGCAACUCCGGUUGACUUUAGUGCACAUGUUAUUCCCCGAGUUCGAUGAUGAAAUCGAGCAAUAAGGGGCAAACUAUUGGGGAAAAAUACUUUGGUAUUGAAUUCUUCCAGACCCCAGGCAGGACACCUGUAAGACCCGAUCCCGGCCUACUAGGCCGCGGUC